AAACAGCCAGGCUUCUAGAAGUCACAGGGAGACUUUGAUGCCAGCAUACAAUUAGAAACAACAGGGUUUUUUUGAGCAACCAAGAUAACUUUGUUGUGAAUGUUCCUGGGGCUUGUGUGUGUGUGUCGUAGCAUGUUCAGGCUGCCCCCACAACAAUGCACAGAGAGCCAGCAGGCACAGCAAUCAGACUCUGGGUUCUUGGUUUGACUGAUUCUCCCUGUAGCCACCAGAAAGCUACCGGAAGAAUGAGCUUCUUCCAUCACAGUGGGCAGAGCAUCAGAGUCUUGCACAACACCAUUGGAACAAUUGGGGCACUUGGAGGACACCAAGAAAAACAGUCUGAGAGACGUGGAGAGCCUGGCACAUUCCUGGCAUAGAGCGAGUGCAGAAAUGUAUGAAAGAUCAGAAGGAACACUGCAAAAAAAAAAUACCAGAGCCUCUAGUGACCUGGAACAAUUCGCGAUGCCUGGGACAGUUCUGAGUCCAUGGUGCUUUCCUAUGUCAUCUGGCUCUGAGACAUGUGGCUCUUUGCCCUACAACAAAUGGAGGAAGGAAGCACUGGUGGUUAUGGCACAACCCUGAGCUGCAAUAAAGGUCUGACACGGAGGUGCUGAUAACAGACUGGUCUUUAUUUGCUGGAACUGGUCACCUGACAUAGACUAUCCCUGUCUUGUGACAUGGGUUCGCUGGUGCAGGAGGCCUGGUCUCAUAGUCUUGGAGGCCAGGGGUCUGCCCUUGUGGAACUGUGUGAGUCCUUGGAGCCCAGCCCAUUAAUGGGUCACUCCCAGGAAACUGGCUCCAGGCUGGACAGAGACAUGACACUGCCAUUUUGCAUCCUGAUCACAUGACCACUUCCUGUUUCCAAAAUACAGUGGCCUGAUGGGAGGCUAGGAAGUGGAAGCACGACCAGUGGAGCCUCUGCUUGUUGCUCCUGGUGUAUUUCAUGGUCAGUGAUUGCAUGGGCUUGUGUUACUUCUGCUGCUUGGGAGCUCUGCCGGCAGCAUUCGAGGUGUCCUCAAGCAGCAGUCUGAGCACAAAUUAGGGAUGCCUUGUCUUAGCUAUGUUAACAUGCCCGUGAAUCUCUGUAAAGCUUCCCUGCUUACAGUCUGUCCAUUUGUCCAAUUCCACCAUUCAAACGCCUGUGUCACUAGCCAUCCUGGGUAGCUAAACUCAUUUAGCCCCCCCCGGCACUGGUUCCUGUUCUGUUCAAGGUUCUUUCCCUGGGCACACUGAAAUCAGCAAAUCAUCCACAAUGAAUCCCACCCUAUCUAGAUCCUCGAAGACCUGGGCCAGGAUGCUUUAGCACACCUGAGGUGCUGCGGCAAUCCCAAAGGGAAGUUGCCUAAACAUAUAGUUACCAAGGGGAGGCUGAGGGGGCAAAGUUCUGCACUUUCUGUAUCAAAUCAGACCUGCCAAAACCCUUGAGUGCAUCCAAAUCUGAAAAUACUCCUGCACUUUGAAGUCAAGGCAUCACCUCCCCAUCUGUUCUUUUG